AGAAUCAACGCUGGCGGCGUGCCUAACACAUGCAAGUCGAACGAGAAAGGGAUUUCGGUCCUGAGUAUAGUGGCGCACGGGUGAGUAACACGUGAAUAAUCUACCUCCGAGUGGGGAAUAACUGAGAGAAAUCUUAGCUAAUACCGCAUAACACUUACGAGUCAAAGCAGCAAUGCGCUUGGAGAGGAGUUCGCGGCCGAUUAGUUAGUUGGCGGGGUAAUGGCCCACCAAGACGAUGAUCGGUA
rnacentral:rRNA from 1 species